GUCGAGCGAACAGACGAGGAGCUUGCUCCUCUGACGUUAGCGGCGGACGGGUGAGUAACACGUGGAUAACCUACCUAUAAGACUGGGAUAACUUCGGGAAACCGGAGCUAAUACCGGAUAAUAUAUUGAACCGCAUGGUUCAAUAGUGAAAGACGGUUUUGCUGUCACUUAUAGAUGGAUCCGCGCCGCAUUAGCUAGUUGGUAAGGUAACGGCUUACCAAGGCAACGAUGCGUAGCCGACCUGAGAGGGUGAUCGGCCACACUGGAACUGAGACACGGUCCAGACUCCUACGGGAGGCAGCAGUAGGGAAUCUUCCGCAAUGGGCGAAAGCCUGACGGAGCAACGCCGCGUGAGUGAUGAAGGUCUUCGGAUCGUAAAACUCUGUUAUUAGGGAAGAACAAAUGUGUAAGUAACUAUGCACGUCUUGACGGUACCUAAUCAGAAAGCCACGGCUAACUACGUGCCAGCAGCCGCGGUAAUACGUAGGUGGCAAGCGUUAUCCGGAAUUAUUGGGCGUAAAGCGCGCGUAGGCGGUUUUUUAAGUCUGAUGUGAAAGCCCACGGCUCAACCGUGGAGGGUCAUUGGAAACUGGAAAACUUGAGUGCAGAAGAGGAAAGUGGAAUUCCAUGUGUAGCGGUGAGAUGCGCAGAGAUAUGGAGGAACACCAGUGGCGAAGGCGACUUUCUGGUCUGUAACUGACGCUGAUGUGCGAAAGCGUGGGGAUC
rnacentral:rRNA from 1 species